UCUCUGCCAUCCUCAGCCCCCCGAUUCCUCUUUAAGGGGUUUCCCCGCCAGGUCCUCCACCCCAGAGGCCAUCCUCAAGAGGAUGCCAAGGGCUUGGAGGAAGGCAAGGAGGAGAACAGCGGUCUGCGAGUUCUCCGAUCAUCGAGCGGCCGCUGAAAGUCCCCGUCGCUUCAAAGGGGGUUUGAGGAAGAAUUCCUUCAACAACAGGGGUUUAAUAACGGAGACCGCCGGUAAAGGCGUUCUGCCUGAGAAUUUCGGAGUAGCGAGACGGGGUGACACCGGUCAGGAGGGCAGAGCUGUCGUCGCAAGCUGUGGCGGGAUCCUUGAUGUCGUCGGGGCCGAGGGACCAGAAGCGGUCGGCGUCGACGGUGGGGCAGUAAAACUUGUUGCGGG
rnacentral:lncRNA from 1 species